rfam:Microgenomates (Woesebacteria) bacterium GW2011_GWB1_38_8 TT08_C0029, whole genome shotgun sequence.
GGGGGCGUAAGCUAGUGGUAAACCGCGGGUCUCCAAAACCCGAUUCCUAGGUUCGAUUCCUAGCGCCCCCG